rnacentral:rRNA from 1 species
UACGUAGGGUGCGAGCGUCGUCCGGAAUUAUUGGGCGUAAAGGGCUCGUAGGCGGUUUGUCGCGUCGGGAGUGAAAACCCAGGGCUUAACCCUGGGCUGGCUUCCGAUACGGGCAGACUAGAGGUAUGCAGGGGAGAACGGAAUUCCUGGUGUAGCGGUGAAAUGCGCAGAUAUCAGGAGGAACACCGGUGGCGAAGGCGGUUCUCUGGGCAUUACCUGACGCUGAGGAGCGAAAGUGUGGGGAGCGAACAGG